AUUGAACGCUGGCGGCAUGCUUUACACAUGCAAGUCGAACGGUAACAGGCCGCAAGGUGCUGACGAGUGGCGAACGGGUGAGUAAUGCAUCGGAACGUGCCCAGUCGUGGGGGAUAACGCAGCGAAAGCUGCGCUAAUACCGCAUACGAUCUAUGGAUGAAAGCGGGGGACCGUAAGGCCUCGCGCGAUUGGAGCGGCCGAUGUCAGAUUAGGUAGUUGGUGAGGUAAAGGCUCACCAAGCCAACGAUCUGUAGCUGGUCUGAGAGGACGACCAGCCACACUGGGACUGAGACACGGCCCAGACUCCUACGGGAGGCAGCAGUGGGGAAUUUUGGACAAUGGGCGCAAGCCUGAUCCAGCAAUGCCGCGUGCAGGAAGAAGGCCUUCGGGUUGUAAACUGCUUUUGUACGGAACGAAACGGUCCGGGUUAAUACCCUGGGCUAAUGACGGUACCGUAAGAAUAAGCACCGGCUAACUACGUGCCAGCAGCCGCAGUAA
rnacentral:rRNA from 1 species